AUGGAUUGGCUGGCUCUCGCCAGCUGCACCACGGUCAUGAUCCUUCUCUUCCUGCUGUUGAGCGCUUCCCAAGACCGGCUUGUCCCCGGCAGGGCGCUGUCCCCUGGUAACACCAUCGUCUCCGAUGAUGGUGGAUUCGCCUUGGGCUUCUUCAACCCCUCCAAUUCUUCUCCGGCCAGCUUGUACCUAGGCGUAUGGUACAACGACAUCCCUGAGCUCACCGUUGUGUGGGUCGCCAACCGAAAUACCCCGGCCACCAACACAACUUCCUCAAUACCGAAGCUCUCCCUCACCAACAACUCUAAUCUGGUUCUUUCUGAUGGUGGUGGUGGAAGCCGUGUCGUUUGGACAAGAGCCAACCUGACCAAUGGUCUGGUCUCAUCUACCCCGACGGCGGUGCUUCUAAACACCGGUAACUUCGUCAUCCGAUCGUCAAAUGGCACCAUGCUAUGGCAGAGCUUCGACCACCGCACAGACACCUUCCUUCCCAGCAUGAAGCUCGGCAUAAACUACAGGACGCGUACCACCACCAAGCGGCUGGUAUCAUGGAAAGGCCCCAGCGACCCCUCGCAGGGGCGCUUCUCCUAUGGCAGCGACACAAACAGGUCGCUCCAAGUAUUCCUGUGGGACGGCGAGCACCCGGUAUCUCGUGCC
rnacentral:rRNA from 1 species